GAUGAACGCUGGCGGCGUGCCUAAUACAUGCAAGUCGAGCGAACGGACGAGAAGCUUGCUUUUCUGAUGUUAGCGGCGGACGGGUGAGUAACACGUGGAUAACCUACCUAUAAGACUGGGAUAACUUCGGGAAACCGGAGCUAAUACCGGAUAAUAUUUUGAACCGCAUGGUUCAAAAGUGAAAGACGGUCUUGCUGUCACUUAUAGAUGGAUCCGCGCUGCAUUAGCUAGUUGGUAAGGUAACGGCUUACCAAGGCAACGAUGCAUAGCCGACCUGAGAGGGUGAUCGGCCACACUGGAACUGAGACACGGUCCAGACUCCUACGGGAGGCAGCAGUAGGGAAUCUUCCGCAAUGGGCGAAAGCCUGACGGAGCAACGCCGCGUGAGUGAUGAAGGUCUUCGGAUCUUAAAACUCUGUUAUUAGGGAAGAACAUAUGUGUAAGUAACUGUGCACAUCUUGACGGUACCUAAUCAGAAAGCCACGGCUAACUCCGUG
rnacentral:rRNA from 1 species